GGAGGCAAAAGCCUAUGAAGAAAAUAUAACCAAAGUUGCCUUUAAAAGUCAUUUUUUCUGCUUACUAAUUAGUUUCAAAAAUACUUUUAUUUUUUUUUGUUUCCAACUCACAAUCUAUGUGAGUAUUGUAAACAAAGAUACCGAGCAAUUGCGAAUUUAUAUAGUCUAUGAUAAAAACAACUGAGUUCGAAUGUGCCCAAUUAAAACUUUCUCAAUUCCUAUGUACUAACACUCAAACAUUAAAAAUGUAUAAUAUAAUAAUUUAGUUUCUCCACAGGCUUACUACACAUUUGU
rnacentral:ribozyme from 1 species